rnacentral:rRNA from 1 species
AUUAGGCAUGCAAGUCGAGCGGAAAGGCCUGCAAGGGCACUCGAGCGGCGUAAGGGACAGUAAUGUGUAGGUACGUACCCCUGGAUCUGGGAUAGCUGCGGGAAACUGCAAUUAAUACCAGAUAAUGUCUUCGGACCAAAGGUGUGACUCCGUCUGGGGAGCGGCCUGCAUCCUAUUAGCUAGUUGGUGUGGUAAUGGCGCACCAAGGCAAAGAUGGGUAGCAGGUGUGAGAGCACGACCUGCGUCACUGGGACUGAGACACUGCCCAGACACCUACGGGUGGCUGCAGUCGAGGAUCUUCGGCAAUGGGCGCAAGCCUGACCGAGCGACGCCGCGUGUGGGAUGAAGGCCUUCGGGUUGUAAACCACUGUCAGAGGGGAUGAAAUGCCGUUGGGCACUCUCAACGGUUUGACAGAUCCUCAGAGGAAGGGUGGGCUAAGUUCGUGCCAGCAGCCCGCGGUAAGACGUACCACCCAAACGUUAUUCGGAAUCACUGGGCUUAAAGAGUCCGUAGGCGGUCAGGAAAGUUGGGUGUGAAAUACCUCAGCUCAACUGAGGAAUUGCGCUCAAAACUACCUGGCUCGAGAAAGACAGA